rnacentral:rRNA from 1 species
GACGAACGCUGGCGGCGUGCUUAACACAUGCAAGUCGAACGAAGAGCGAUGGAAGCUUGCUUCUAUCAAUCUUAGUGGCGAACGGGUGAGUAACGCGUAAUCAACCUGCCCUUCAGAGGGGGACAACAGUUGGAAACGACUGCUAAUACCGCAUACGAUCUGACCUCGGCAUCGAGGAUAGAUGAAAGGUGGCCUCUAUUUAUAAGCUAUCACUGAAGGAGGGGAUUGCGUCUGAUUAGCUAGUUGGAGGGGUAACGGCCCACCAAGGCGAUGAUCAGUAGCCGGUCUGAGAGGAUGAACGGCCACAUUGGGACUGAGACACGGCCCAGACUCCUACGGGAGGCAGCAGUGGGGAAUCUUCCGCAAUGGACGAAAGUCUGACGGAGCAACGCCGCGGGAGUGAUGACGGCCUUCGGGUUGUAAAGCUCUGUUAAUCGGGACGAAAGGCCUUCUUGCGAAUAGUUAGAAGGAUUGACGGUACCGGAAUAGAAAGCCACGGCUAACUACGUG